rnacentral:tRNA from 1 species
UCGGGAUAGCUCAGUUGGUAGAGCAGAGGACUGAAAAUCCUUCGGGUCCCAGUUUCAAUAUAA